UACGUAGGCAGCAAGCGUUGUUCGGAAUUACUGGGCGUAAAGAGUGUGUAGGCGGUGUCGCAAGUCUGGUGUGAAAUCUCCCGGCUUAACUGGGAGGGUGCGCCGGAAACUGCGAUGCUAGAGGAUGGGAGAGGAAAGCGGAAUUCCUGGUGUAGCGGUGAAAUGCGUAGAUAUCAGGAGGAACACCUGCGGUGUAGACAGCUUUCUGGACCAUUUCUGACGCUGAGACACGAAAGCGUGGGUAGCAAACAGG
rnacentral:rRNA from 1 species